rnacentral:misc_RNA from 1 species
GAAUUGCGAUAAGUAGUGUGAAUUGCAGAAUUCAGUGAAUCAUCGAAUCUUUGAACGCACAUUGCGCUUCCUGGUAUUCCGGGGAGCAUGCCCGUUUCAGAAUCAUAAGAAAAACUCAUGCUUUGCUCUCAGCGUAUGCGGGGGGUUGAGCAUGGAUGUUGGAUGCUUUGUCGAGUGCGUACAAUCAUCUUCAAAUGAAUGUGUGUGCCGCAAUUUCCGUGUCGAUUGCGAUCGCAAGUGCAACAGCUUAGUUCUAUUCUCUUCGAUCGAGCAAUUGGGCAUGGUUGUGCAUGGUGUACACCCAAUCAUCACACAGCAGGCGGUGCUCUGGCAUCGUUUGCUGAUAACUUGGUCUGAAAUCGGGCAAGAAAACCCGCUGAACUUAA